rnacentral:rRNA from 1 species
AUUGAACGCUGGCGGCAUGCCUUACACAUGCAAGUCGAACGGCAGCACGGGAGCAAUCCUGGUGGCGAGUGGCGAACGGGUGAGUAAUAUAUCGGAACGUGCCCAGUCGUGGGGGAUAACGCAGCGAAAGCUGUGCUAAUACCGCAUACGAUCUAUGGAUGAAAGCGGGGGAUCGCAAGACCUCGCGCGAUUGGAGCGGCCGAUAUCAGAUUAGCUAGGUGGUGAGGUAAAGGCUCACCAAGGCGACGAGCUGUAGCUGGUCUGAGAGGAGGACCAGCCACACUGGAACUGCGACACGGUCCAGAAUCCUACGGGAGGCAGCAGUGAGGAAUUUUGGACAAUGGGCGAAAGCCUGAUCCAGCAAUGCCGCGUGCAGGAUGAAGGCCUUCGGGUUGUAAACUGCUUUUGUACGGAACGAAACAGUGAGCUCUAAUACAGUUUGCUAAUGACGGUACCGUAAGAAUAAGCACCGGCUAACUACGUGCCAGCCGCCGCCGUAACAC